AUUCAGCUAAUGAGUCCCGAAUAGGACAAAACGCGCGUCCUGGAU
rfam:Schistosoma mattheei strain Denwood, Zambia genome assembly, scaffold: SMTD_scaffold0007335